CAUUGAUGGAGAGUUUGAUCCUGGCUCAGGACGAACGCUGGCGGCGUGCUUAACACAUGCAAGUCGAGCGAGGAGCUUGCUCCUAGCGGCGAACGGGUGAGUAACACGUGGG
rnacentral:rRNA from 1 species